rnacentral:lncRNA from 1 species
CCCUGAGGAGACAGCGGGCAGCAGGCUAGGGGCUGGGCGGCGGUUGAGACAGCGGCUGUAUUGGGGGAUAGGUGACGGUCGCGAGGCUGCCUGAGCUUCUGAGUGAGCUCGGAGCUUUGGAGAACGCGUGAGGGGCGACCUGCGGCGCCAGGAGCGGGCAGAGGCGCGGCGGCGCGGCUGCAGUCUGGGUGGGAAGUUACGGUUUACAGCGAAGUCCACCCAGCGUUUCCGAGGUGAGGGCGCCGCGCCUGGCCGGGCGGGCGGUGAGUCCGGGACCGCGGGUGCACAGCUGGGUCGAGCUGCGGCUGUCCCAAGUUUUGCUGCGAGCGGCGGCGGAGGAGCGGCGGGGGGGAUGGGGAGGCGUGUGCUGCGGCGCCGCCGGGGCCUAAGUUCCCUGCGCUCGAUUCCUCGCCUGCCGCUGCCGCCCGCACCCCACCUCUCGUGGGCGCCGGGGCAGAAACUCGCUAGUGGGUGUUCUGUGGCAUCCCAGGGGGUGGAGGGACGGAGCAGCUUCGGGGGCAUGUCCUCGUAUAUCCUGUGGAGGACACUGACCCCGCAUCCCACCCUUGAGGCCAGAAAUCAGUUCCCUCUGGGGACCUGAGAGGCGAGAGCGCUCGCGUCCCUGACUUGCAAAGUUGGGGUCUUUAGUGGCCUUCGGGAUUUUGCUCCUGUCGGUGUCUCCAGGCUGGUGAUGGGCAAGCCAGGUGUGCCAGGUCCAGGAUGCACGUGAGGAGCGUUUGUAGCCAUCACUGAAUCACCUCAUGACUAGCGGGACAAGCCUCAAAUUAACCGCAGGGUUUCCGGGCCUCACUCUGUUGCCCAGGCUAGAGUGCCAUGGCAGGAUCUCAGCUCACUGCAACCUCCACCUCCUGGCUCAAGCAAUCCUCCCACCUCAGCCUCCUGAGUAGCUGCAACUAUAGGCAAUCUGAAGGCAAAUGCUGUUUAGAUGCAGGCGAAGGUUCCUGGUGACCCAGGCUCUCACCAGCAGAUUGUCCCUUACCGUCCUCCUGAGGGUGUCUGGAGCUUCAGUGCUGUGUGCUCUUGGCCUCCACACUGGGGUGCCACCGACUCCCACUGUCCAGGGCUUCCAGUGGACUCUCCGAGGCACUGAUGCAGAAACUUCCCCAUUCGGUGCACCAAGAGCAGCCUCACACGGUGUGGGCCGACAGGAAGAGCUGCCAGAUCCAACAGAAAUGUGAUUGAUAACAGUAAAGCCACACUCCUCACAUGCCUGAAAUACCCCUCAUUGUCUUCUUCAGGUGGCAAGGGCUCUGGAACAGCCACAUAAAGGUGAGGGCAAGAUUUUUACUGUAGUUCUUUCGUUGAUUGAUUGAUCGAUUGAUUGAUUUUCUCUUAGAGGGGUUAGCAUCCAUGUAUUUGAAAUUGAAAUUCAAGAGGAGAGACAGGCACCUGUACUAGUUUUCUCUUGCUGCCUAUUAUCACAUUACCACAAACCAGUGGUUUGAAACCACGGAAGUCUGGAAUGAAGUGGCUGGGUUCUCUGAUCAGAGUCAUGUGAGGCUAAAAUCCAGGAUUGGGCUGGCUGUGUUAUGUUUUCUAGAGCUCAAGCUAUUUUUCCAAGUUCACUACAGAUAUUGAAAGAGUUCCUAUUCUUGUUUGUGGGGGACUGAGGGCUCUUUGUCUGUGCUGGCUGUCAGCCCGGAGACACUCUGACUCCAGAGGCCA